GGCCAUAUUACGUUGAAACACCGGCUCACUUGCGAUCACCGAACUUAAGCAACGUUGGGCCUGGUUAGUACUUUUGACCGCUUGGGAACACCAGGA